GAGAACGGAAAAAGCUUCCAUCUAAUAGUCUUAUCGGACAUGCCAGCAAUGCGCAAGCUUGCACAGGUCUGCUCAAACUCUCGUAGGUGUAAGUAUGGGUUUUCGUUACCUUCUCUCGAGAAAGGUAUAUCCUGAAUCAUAUUAAUUAGACAUGGGCGCAACUCAUGAGCCAUGUUUUAUAAUAGGUUCAGAAGAUUCUAUUGGCUAGAGGUACGAUCCUGGUGGUGCCCCGUAUUGAUAUAAAAGUUGAGAAACAAGCUCAAUAUUUUGAUAAAGGUAAAGGUAAAUAAAAGGUAAAUAAAAGAUUAAGAUAAACUAAAGUUAAAUCAGCAAACCGCUCCCGGGCA
rnacentral:lncRNA from 1 species